rnacentral:rRNA from 1 species
CAGCUUGCUGUUUCGCUGACGAGUGGCGGACGGGUGAGUAAUGUCUGGGAAACUGCCUGAUGGAGGGGGAUAACUACUGGAAACGGUAGCUAAUACCGCAUAACGUCGCAAGACCAAAGAGGGGGACCUUCGGGCCUCUUGCCAUCGGAUGUGCCCAGAUGGGAUUAGCUAGUAGGUGGGGUAACGGCUCACCUAGGCGACGAUCCCUAGCUGGUCUGAGAGGAUGACCAGCCACACUGGAACUGAGACACGGUCCAGACUCCUACGGGAGGCAGCAGUGGGGAAUAUUGCACAAUGGGCGCAAGCCUGAUGCAGCCAUGCCGCGUGUAUGAAGAAGGCCUUCGGGUUGUAAAGUACUUUCAGCGGGGAGGAAGGGAGUAAAGUUAAUACCUUUGCUCAUUGACGUUACCCGCAGAAGAAGCACCGGCUAACUCCGUGCCAGCAGCCGCGGUAAUACGGAGGGUGCAAGCGUUAAUCGGAAUUACUGGGCGUAAAGCGCACGCAGGCGGUUUGUUAAGUCAGAUGUGAAAUCCCCGGGCUCAACCUGGGAACUGCAUCUGAUACUGGCAAGCUUGAGUCUCGUAGAGGGGGGUAGAAUUCCAGGUGUAGCGGUGAAAUGCGUAGAGAUCUGGAGGAAUACCGGUGGCGAAGGCGGCCCCCUGGACGAAGACUGACGCUCAGGUGCGAAAGCGUGGGGAGCAAACAGGAUU